rnacentral:lncRNA from 10 species
GAAAAUUCCCUAACACUAAAGGACAUGAGUUUCCAGACUGAAAGGGCCAAGAGCACCUGGCACAAUGGGUAAUGGGUGCUGAAUAGAAAUAGGCCAACAGCAGGACAUGCAUUGUGAAAUUUCAGAACACUGAAGACAAUUCUACAAGCAUCGAGAGAGAAAAAUGACGACAAAGGAGGAACCAAGAAUCAGAAGUCACGCAGGAAGCCAGAAGGCACUACAGUCACUUCCUCCCCUCAGAGGGACAAUGGGCAGGAAGAGGACAGGGCAGCAGCCUCCUUUAUGGAGAGAGUUCUUUCAGAUGAAACGGAUGGGAGACUAGGGGAUAUAUACAAAUGGGGUCAGUUUGGGCUUAACUAGAGACAGAUACAUAGAAAAUCAUGCAAAUAAACAUGAUUAUUAACUCCAAUGAGAAACUAAAAGUUGUGUCAGAAGGAAAAGAAGUCAUACUAAGUGUUCUGGUUCAGCUAUGAAUAGCGUUUGUGUAUCCUUAGCAAUAUCAAUAUUAAUAUUGAUCCAACCAAAAUGACACAAUUAUAUGGACAAAUGGAGGGACUGAAAGCACGUGUCUGCGAUGAAGGAUGACCAAAGAGCAGCCCAAUCUGCACCACUAGAUAUAGUCAAUUGAUAAGGCCUAAUACUGAACAAUUGUGAAAUGGUAAUAAAAAUAUUUCACAUGGAAAUGAAAGUUAAUACUAAAAUAUUCAUCUGGAAGAACUGAAGGUGGUUGUCUCUUGGAGAGAAAGGAAAGAGGGGUUGCCAAGAACUACUGAUUUUCAUGAUAAGCCUUGUUGAAUUUUUUUUUAGGCAGGGUCUCGCUGUCACCCAGGCUGAAGUGCAGUGGCGAGAUCAUGGCUCACUGCCGCCUUGAACUCGUGGACUCAAGCGAACCUCCCACUUCAGCCUCCCAAGUAGCUGGGACUACAGGUAUGGGUCACAGAGCCCAGCUAAUUUUUUUAUUCUUUGUAAGGAUUUUUGUUGUUGUUGUUAUUUUGUUACUGUUUUACUGUUUUUUGUUUUUUUGAGAUGGAGCUUCGCCCUUGUUGCCCAGGCUGGAGUGCAAUGGGCUCACGGCAACCUCUGCCUCCCCGGUUCAAGUGAUUCUCCUGCCUUGGCCUUCCAAGUAGCUGGGAUUACAGGUAUGCAUCACUACACCUGGCUAAUUUUUGUAUUUUUAGUAGAGAUGGGGUUUCACCACGUUGGUCAGACUGGUCUUGAACUCCUGACCUCAGGUGAUCCACCCACCUCGGCCUCCAAAAGUGCUGGGAUUACAGGUGUGAGCCACCGCACCCAGCUGGUAUUGCUAUUUUUGUUGUUUUUUUUCUCCCAAAUAUCUUUGAUCUGCAGUUGGUUGAAUCUACAGAUGUGGAACCCAAGGAUAUGAUGGGCUGACUGUACUCAUUUAUUAAUAUUACUUAUUAUAUUUGUUCAGUUAUUUCAAAUAUGGAUCUAUUUCUACAUAAGUAUAUUGCAAACUUCUGGAGGAUGGGCAUGGUGGACGAUUCCUUUUUGAUACCUACCAAAGCUAUGUCCGUAGUAGAUGCCCCCAAAAUAAUUCAUGGAUAAACAUAAAGGUCAAAUUCAAGGUGACUUGAUAUGCAAAGUUAAGUCAAAGUCUGGAGAUAAAAACCAAGGUUAGAUUAAAGCUGACACUGUAAAUAGUUAAGACAUUUGGAGAACCUAAGUACAUCAAGACAGAGCUGCAUUCAAAGUUCUGUGGUCUACUUUUUUGGUUAAUGUUUAUUUGUUUUAAUGAAGAGAUACUUUUGUUCCCAAAGUACUCUCAAGUUUCAAGUUUUGGUGACCUGGGACUUGGUAUAUAAACGUGAGCUUACUCUGCCAACACCCUAUGUGACUUUCGAGACUUUGUGCCUGCCUCCUUUGUUUUCCUAGAUUGCAAAGUCGUAAUCUCCACACACUGAGAUACUGAACUUCUUUUAUUGCUGGUCUGAUACGAUUGACAAGAGAGAGAUUAGUUUCUUGUCCCUUGCUGGAGGUGGGGAGAUGAAAACACCAGGGAGAAAAAUAUAGUGGAAGAUCAUCUUGAGUCGAUGUUCAGAAUGAGGAGUCCUCGAUCCUGGGCCAGCAUCAGUCCAUGGCGCUUUUGGUCUCACUGUGGUUUCACUCCCCAUUAAAUGGGGAAAAUACUUGGCAUUUUCUGACAUUCCGGGUUCUACAUAUGCAUAUCAGUAAAUGUAAUACACACGUUAAGAGAAAGGCAGGCCAGGCACGGUGGCUUUAAUCCCAAAUAUCUCACCUACUUCCUACCUAAGAAUCUUAUCUAACUCAGGAUUUUUUUUUUUUUUUUUUUUUUUUUUGAGACGGAGUCUGGCUUUGUUGCCCAGGCUGGAGUGCAGUGGUGCGAUCUUGGCUCACCGCAACCUUAGCCUGCCGGGUUCAAGCAAUUCUCCUGCCUUAGCCUCCCAAGUAGCUGGGAUUACAGGCAUGUGUCACCACGCCCAACUAAUUUUGUAUUUUUAGUAGAGAUGGGGUUUCUCCAUGUUGGUCAGGACGGUCAAACUCCCAAACUCAGGUGAUCCGCCCGCCUCGGGCUCCCAAAGUGCGGGGAUUACAGGCAUGAGCCACUGUGCCCGGCUAACUCAGGAUUUUUCUAAGGAUUAAAAUGAGAUAUGUAAUGAAAGUAUUUGGCAGAAUAUCUGGCAAAGGGGUCAAGAAAUGUUCAACAUUAUUAUGGAGGUUUAGAUCUUUUCUCCCGUCCGAGUACUAACCAGGCCUGACCCGGAUUAGCUUCCAAGAUCAGAUGAGGUCGGGAGCAUUCAGGGUAGUAUGGCCGUAGAGGUUUAGGUCUUUUCUAUAAAACACCAAAUAAUACAACUAUGGUCAAAACACAGAAGUUGCAGGGAGUCUGAUUUUGGCUUCAUAAAUGAUACUUCUGUAACAAUGCCAGCUGGAAUGAGAUUACAAGUGUGAAUGUUCAAACAGAGCAGCAAAGGUCAUUCCUCAGGGGACUCUGGAGGAGAUUCCUACCCCAGGUAGGAAGUUGGUUGAUUUCUGCUCUGAUCCUAUGACUACUAAAUGCAUAGUAUGAAAAACUACACUUAUAAUGUGCAUUAACAAGAAUAUGACUGAUCUCCAUGGAUAUGGAAAGAUAUACAAAAUAGAAUUGGGGGGGGGAAAUUAUAGAACCAUACAAUGGGAGCCCAAGUUUUAAAAACCAGAUAUAUAUUUAUGUGCUUAGAGCAUUUCAGGAAGGGUAUAUUAAGAAAUUUAUUUGGAAAAUCUUGAGAGGUAAGCUGGAGUGAAUGUACACUCUCCACUCCAUGCCCAAAUGUUUACUUUUCACUUUAUACCCUUCUGUUUAUUUUUUUGACCAGCAGCAUCAACUUUUUAAAAAAGGACCAAAUAGGCCAGGCUCAGUAGCUCAUGCCUAUAAUCCCAACACUUUGGGAGGCAAAGGUGGGAAGAUCACUUGAGCCCAGGAAUUCAAGGCUGCAGUGAGAAAUGACUGUGCCACUGCACUCCAGCCUGGGCAGUAGAGCAAGACUCUGUCUCAAAAUAAAUAAAUAAAUAAAUAAAUAAAUAAAUAAAUAAAUAAAUCAAUCAAUCAAUAAUAAAUAAAAAAACCAAAUCAUUUGGUUGGCCAAAACCUUCUGAUCUGAGCUUUGCUCGGCAACCACUCUCCAAGAUAAAGCUUUAUGUAUCACCUCACAUAUUCACUGUCAAGGCUCAGGCACUCUAGAUUACUGGACUCCCCAGUCAACAUUCCCAUUACCAAAAGUCCCUAAUCUUGGAGGCUGCUUCAGGUCACCCUCUCUUUGUCCCUCACUUCCUGAGUUUUUUUUUUUUCCUCCAACUAUACUCACUCUACUGGUGAUCUCAAACAGCCCUCUAGCUUUUAAGAUACUGUCCAAAUGCUGACUCCCAAAUUUCUAUUUCCAUCCAAGACCCACUCUUAAACUCUAGACACACACAUGCAUCGCAACUGCCUCCUCAACAGCUCCACUUGGAUAUUGAGUAGACAUCUAAAACUUGCUCUUCCCACAGCCUUGCAACUCAGCUGAUGGCAUGUCCAGGCUUCCAGUUGCCCAAGUCCAUAACCUCAGAGUUAGGGAAAGUUGAGUGUGACCCACAAUGCCAGCUACCUAGAAACUAAGGUAGAUCUAGGUACUGGGAUUAAAGAUAUCAUAAAAUCAUUAAAAUGUUUUCUGAAAUGUUUGAAGUUAACUCAUUUUAUUUCUAGGAUUUGGAUUUCAACAUUUUAAUUUCUUUGGAAUAUAAGUCACUUUUUGCAAGCUAAAAAAUAGAAUCAAACUAAGGUGAUCUAGUCCUCUAGGCAUCCAGGCUGAUCCUUGGAAUCAUGAGCAGAAUGAUGACAUACUACAAGGGACAAAAUGAUGCAAAUUAUAUGCUG